CUCCCCCUUUUUCCCAAUUUCUCCCAAACCUAACUCUCACAGCACACACCCUUUCUAGUCUUUUUCUUUACAUUUGAUUUUCCAAAAUUCCUCGCGCCCAACCCAAUUUAGCUCUCCACCUAAUCAACCAGCUCAAACCAAAUAACCAUUAAAAACCCUUUUUACUAUAACAUUUAUGAUCCACCAAAUCCAAAUCAAAGGCCUCUUAAGAAAAAAAGAUCAAAGACCCACUUCCCACUUCCCAGCUCACACUCUAUUUUUUCUUAAGUUCCCAUCACCUUUUGCCACUCAAAGUCUCAAAAGCACAAACCAAAGUAGUGCACCCAUCUCAAGAAACAAUUCAUGAUGCCUGCUCAUGCUCAUGGGGUCACCUUCUCUCUCCUCCUACUGCUGCUCUUUUUGUUUACUGCUAUCUUCACUACUGAAGCAGCAAGCUUAACCCAUGCCAAUGGGUCUGCAGCUGUGGAGCCACUUGUGCCACUGAUUGGAGCUGAAAAGAUGAAGACUUUGGUGAUGAAUGAGACCAGAAGGAAGUUGGGGAGCUUUCGGAUUUGUGCAUUGUGUACUUGUUGUGGAGGUGCCAAAGGUCUUUGCUUGCCUUCUCCUUGUUGCUAUGCCAUCAAUUGCAACAUUCCAAACAGGCCUUUUGGUUUCUGUUCUUUCACACCCAAGACCUGUAAUUGCUUUGGAUGCCACAUCUAACUCUUCCUCUCUAUAUUUUAUAAUUAAAUUGUUGAAUUAGGGGUAAUGUUUGAUUUUGUUGGGAGUCUGGAUGGCAAAAAAGAAUAUCUGUUCUUGAUUUGUUUGUUUAUAAGUUAUGAAAUUUAGUAUAUUUCCAGGUUAGCUUAUUUCUAUAUCUAGUGGGAUAAUUUUCCAAUGUUUUUUUUUUUGUUUUUCUUUUUGUUUUGGCUGCAAUAAGCAGUGCCUGGAGAUAGGAUUAGCAUAGUUGUGAGGAUUUUAGGGAACAUUGUCCUUGUUAAUGCAGCUAUUUGGGGUUCUUAAUGAUAUUUUAUUGACUUUUCCAAAAGUGGUCAGUAGAGCUGCUCUAUGACAAGGAUUAAGAUUCAACUUCUAUGUUCUAUUAUUUUAGUCUUGUGCUGAUAUUUUAUUAAUUUGUGAUGAGUUUUAGUUCA